rnacentral:rRNA from 1 species
UGACACAUGCAAGUCGAGGGGCAGCAUUACCGCUUGCGGUAGAUGGCGACCGGCGCACGGGUGAGUAACGCGUAUGCAACCUGCCUUGUACAGGGGGAUAGCCCGGAGAAAUCCGGAUUAAUACCGCAUAACGAUCAUUUUUCGCAUGGAAAAUGAUUUAAACCUACGGGGGUACAAGAUGGGCAUGCGUAACAUUACCUUGUUGGUGAGGUAACGGCUUACCAAGGCAAUGAUGUUUAGGGGGUCUGAGAGGAUAGUCCCCCACACUGGUACUGAGACACGGACCAGACUCCUACGGGAGGCAGCAGUGAGGAAUAUUGGUCAAUGGGCGCAAGCCUGAACCAGCCAUGUCGCGUGCAGGAUGACGGCCCUAUGGGUUGUAAACUGCUUUUUUACGGGAAUAAUUGUCUCUACGUGUAGGGAUUUGAAGGUACCGUAUGAAUAAGGAUCGGCUAACUCCGUGCCAGCAGCCGCGGUAAUACGGAGGAUUCGAGCGUUAUCCGGAUUUAUUGGGUUUAAAGGGUCCGUAGGCGGNCCUGUAAGUCAGUGGUGAAAUCCCGGAGCUCAACUCCGGA